UGUUUCUCUUAUGAUUAAGCGCUGGGAGUUGAAGACAACAGAACCUAUACUGGGGUGUGAGCCUGACAAUUUCUCUCUCUGGCCUUCCGAACUCAAUCGGCAAUCGAUAAACACAGUAAAACAUGGCCUCGAAGGAUGGAGUGAGUGAAGCGGAAGAGUUUGUGUACAGGAUUAGCACCGUUAAGGAAAGGGAAGAGUUUCAGAAAACUGGAUCUCUCUACGGCGGAGAACUUGAUAAGUCUACUGGUUUCAUCCAUCUCAGCAAACGCCAUCAGGUACUGUCAACAUUGCAGAAGUUUUUCUUGAACACUAAGGAGGAGUUGUACUUGCUUCAAAUUGAUGCUAAGAUGCUUGGUGAUGGAUUGGUAUAUGAAGUUGUGGAUGGUUCCAAUAGCUUCCCUCAUUUUUAUGGCCCAUCCCGAAGUUUCAGUCCUCUCCCCUCACAUGCGGUCAUGAAAGCAGAGAAGCUGUCUCUAUCAGGUGGCCAGUUCAGAUGUAGUUUGCUGGAGUUCAAUCUUCUGCAUAAAGCAAGUGCCUUGGAAUGAUUUUGAAGUAACCGAGUUGUAUCUGCUUCUCUCAAAGAUAGCGGUUUGAAAUGAAACAGAGAUAUAAAUGUGGACACAAGUGCCCUGGACCUUGGCAUUAUUGUUAUUGGAUAUGUGAAAUCAUGUUGACUGCUGAGUGCUGAGAACAAUACAUUCACACGAUUUGUGAAAGUUUCUUGGUUCUUUCAACGAAAUUUUACUCGAGAA